GACAGAGGUUGCAACCGUUGUUCGGAAUUACUGGGCGUAAAGGGCUCGUAGGUGGCCAACUAAGUCGGACGUGAAAUCCCUCGGCUUAACCGGGGAACUGCGUCCGAUACUGGUUGGCUUGAGUUUGGGAGAGGGAUGCGGAAUUCCAGGUGUAGCGGUGAAAUGCGUAGAUAUCUGGAGGAACACCGGUGGCGAAGGCGGCAUCCUGGACCAAUACUGACACUGAGGAGCGAAAGCCAGGGGAGCAAACGGG
rnacentral:rRNA from 1 species